GGGCGCAAGCGUUAUCCGGAAUUAUUGGGCGUAAAGAGCUCGUAGGCGGCUUGUCGCGUCUGCCGUGAAAGUCCGGGGCUUAACCCCGGAUCUGCGGUGGGUACGGGCAGACUAGAGUGCAGUAGGGGAGACUGGAAUUCCUGGUGUAGCGGUGAAAUGCGCAGAUAUCAGGAGGAACACCGAUGGCGAAGGCAGGUCUCUGGGCUGUAACUGACGCUGAGGAGCGAAAGCAUGGGGAGCGAACAGGAUUAGAUACCCUGGUAGUCAAGGGCG
rnacentral:rRNA from 1 species